rnacentral:rRNA from 1 species
UACAACGCACUACCUGUUCAUAGUAGUCGUUGCUGUCAACAGCACACUGCUCACCAUCAACGCAGGGGACUACAUCUUCUACACAGACUGGGCGUGGACGUCCUUCGUUGUGUUCUCGGUGUCCCAGGCUACGGUCCAUGCUGUAGGCGCAAGAUACUACCUUUUAUGUCCCGGUUUGUCAUACCCUGGAACCUUUAUCCCCUCUUACAUGACCCAUUCAACAUAGUGUGCAGAGGUCUGUCGUUUUGCACUUGACUACCCGUCACCACUCGUUAUAGGCGACAAGGCGGAACAAGACCGCUGCCAUACUGAUUUGCUGUACGCUGGUUGGCCUCUCCUUCACGCUUUUCAACCUGGUAAAACUUUUGCUUGUAAGGGACCCGCUCGAGGUGGCCUUCAAGUAUCCGAGACCGACUCUGCCCGCGUACAUGACGCCUAUAGAGCCGCAGGUAGGGAAGUUCUACAACUCGCCUGUCGCCCUGGGUUCAGGUGCCGGUGCAGUGCUAACGGUACCCAUCGCUGCGUUGGGUGCAAAACUAAACACGUGG